GACGAACGCUGGCGGCGUGCUUAACACAUGCAAGUCGAACGCUGAAGCUUGGUGCUUGCACUGGGUGGAUGAGUGGCGAACGGGUGAGUAAUACGUGAGUAACCUGCCCUUGACUCUGGGAUAAGCCUGGGAAACUGGGUCUAAUACUGGAUACGACAUGCCACUGCAUGGUGGUGUGUGGAAAGGGUUUUACUGGUUUUGGAUGGGCUCACGGCCUGUCAGCUUGUUGGUGGGGUAAUGGCCUACCAAGGCGACGACGGGUAGCCGGCCUGAGAGGGUGACCGGCCACACUGGGACUGAGACACGGCCCAGACUCCUACGGGAGGCAGCAGUGGGGAAUAUUGGACAAUGGGCGAAAGCCUGAUCCAGCAAUGCCGCGUGGGUGAAGAAGGUCUUCGGAUCGUAAAGCCCUUUCGACGGGGACGAUGAUGACGGUACCCGUAGAAGAAGCCCCGGCUAACUUCGUG
rnacentral:rRNA from 1 species